UGGGGCUGAGGCCUGCGGGGCCGCGGGCCGCGGGCCGCGAGCGCGUGUCUGCUAAGCGGGCUCUCUGGCGUAGUCUGUUUCGUCGGUGGUGGACGGUGUCCUCUGACGUGUGUCCCUUUGCCGUAGGCUUUAAAACACCCGGGUAGAGGUAGAGAAUGCUGCUGAAUGUGAGCGACUUCUGAGGCUAGGUCAUAAAGGCACUGAUUGCAGCUUUCCACCUCAUUCUCUUGGCUUGGAUUGCUCUGGGGGAAGCCAGGCUCCACACCACUCCACUCAGCCCUUUGAAGAGGCCUAUGUGGAGAGAAAAGCCUCUACCAACAGCCAGUACCAACUUGCCAACCACGUGAGUGAACUACAUUGACUGAUCUGCUGUCCUAAUCAAGCAUUCAUAUGACCACAUCCCUGCCCAACAUCUGAUUUCAAUCUCAUGAGAACUAGAAAGGACUAGCUCUAACCCAUAGACACUGUGAUAUGGGAUAUUAUAUGGGUUUUUGUCCUGAUAUUUAAGUAUAACCUUUCUAAACUUUAAACAAGAACUAAAAAAUGGGUGUGUAUAUAUGA